rnacentral:lncRNA from 1 species
UUGACUCUGGGGUUAUGUCCAUGGUUAUUCCUUUGGGUGAUCGUUCAAAUAGGUUAGCUUGGGAUGGGACCAGUGCCUAGCGACUGAGAGUCCGUGAGUUGUAUGCUUUGCUCAAGGGCCCACCGAUUUGACCUAGAGAGUUGCGUCAGGUGUGAAGCUUGUGGAUUCACCCUGGAGGUGGCCUUGUUCAUUUGGAAGGUGGCA